GGGGGAGGGGAGCAGGAUCUGAUGGACGUGGCUUGGGCCAAGUAUGGAGAGGAGAAUCAUACCAGCUUCAGGGCCAAAAUUCUGGUGCCUCCCUGGGUUGAUCCCCACAACUGACGAGGAGCCAGGAAUUUGCUCACUCUGCUGUCCUUCCAACUGACCGAGGGGACAGUGUGGUCUGGGGGACUUCACAAGAUGGCUGACAAGCUUUCCCUGUCCCAGUGGUAGAACGUUGGCCUCUGGUGUCCUACUUACUCCAGAGCUGUCAGACUUCUGUUGACCAGGAGGGAUCUGGCCAGAGCUUUGGCCCCUUUGUUACUGAUCUGGUUCUCAGCCAAGCUGCCCAAGGAGAAGGAGAAGAGUGGUUAUUGCUGGUCUACAACUGUCAUGGCCUCUUCCUCAACACCAGGCUUGUGACCCAAACCUCCCGGCUUCACCAGCAUCAUGAGGGCCUGGACGCAGGUGGAGAUGACGUGAGCCCUGGAGCAGAAUCGCCCAGGCCAGGAAAGCCUCUGAGCCGAGUAAGAGGGAUUGCAUUUCUAUCUCUGGCUGCUAGCCCAAGGGGAUCCUGCUAAUAGCCGGCCCUCAUCCAGUGCUUCCUCUGUGCCUGGCCCGUCCUCACCACUUGCCUUGAGUUAACCCACUGAAGCUGCUUCAACAACCGGAAGGGGGAAUGUGCAGGAAAGGGUUAACCUUGCCCCCAGUUCCGGAGAGGUGACCUCUGAACGCUUGUAAUGUCCUGCCUGAUAAGUCUGUCUGUGUUUACCUGGGGCCCUUGGGCCGUGCAGUAGCAGCCUGACGUCCCUACCUCCGGAGGGGCUUCCCAUGACCCACCUCCAGUAAAAUGUCUGGACCCAAGCCCGGGUGCGCCUCCCUGGUUAGAACGCUUCAUGUGUGCUGUUGCGCGUGGUGGCUGGAGAGGCGGGCCCCGUCUGCACCACCACAGCGGAAGGACAACUGAAAGCUUGCCCCUGUCUCUCGGGGGCCCGCCUCAUGCACCCUUCCCUCUGCACAUUUAAAUCCGUAUCCUUUUGAUGUCCUGAACCACAAGUGCAGGUACAACAGCUCUUCUGGGUUCUGUGAGUCCUUCUAGUGAAUCAUUAAACCUUUGGGGGGUCCCGGAGACCCCAGACUCACAGAUACCGUUUUAACCCCAUUUUUACACUCCUUUGGCACAGAGUUGACUGUACAGGGUCACACAGAGCCCACCGCUCACCACUGUCUUCCGUGACUUCUUUUGGCUCCUGACUCACUCCGUUUUUGUUUUCUCAGAGAUUAUUCCUGAACCCAGAGGAAGGCUUAAGUGAGGAUGAAGAAUUCCUCUCGGGAUCCUGUUCUCCAGACUCCUCUCCCUAGUUCUAACCACCCCCAGGUCACAAGCCCACUCCUCAGUGUUACUGAGACUUGGAAAUGUGAUCACAGGAGAUUUCACAAGCACGAAACUCUCUUUUGCCGUCAGCACACAGACUUGUGUCUCAUCACACCAUUAAAGGUUCAGUGUUUAAAUUUUAUUUUUUUGUACUCGUUUAAAUAAAAGUUCAAAUUUAAAUCCAAAUUUUAAAUUAAAACAUUUCUAAUUUAAUUUCCAGAGCCAAUCCUGUGCCUGUAAUACUGUUUUGAGGGCAAACUUGAGAGGAGCUUAGAGAACAUUGUGCCUCGCAGCACUUCUGAACGUUGAGUAUCUGCGGAAAUGCUCCCAUGUCCACCAGAGCACCUGACCCUCACCAUAUCCCUUCCCUCUUCUUACAGGUGAGGGACCUGAGCCUCUGGAACUUUCCGGAAGGGGCAGCAACAAGCAGCCACGUGUUUCCAAGGCACCUCUCCUUGCAGGCGCCUCUGGCCGGUUGAGCAGAGAGGAGGACGGGAAAAUAGCCCUGGACCCCGUGCGACAGGUCCACGAGGGCUUUCACUUGCCCAGCCGGGGAGCCGGGGCCUCGGCCCUGGCCUGCCUCCCCGCCGGUCCGCACCUCCUGCUUCCUCAUGGGGUCCGCGAUGGCCGCCAG